ACGAACAAAACGCCGCUAUUCGGAUAUAACGAUGGAUUAUUUUGGACCAAACCAACAUUUGUUAUUGAAGUAGACGUCCUGGGUGUGCAUUCUGACGAAGACAACAAAAGGAGCUCAUUUUUCAGCUGCUGCUGCUCGAAUUGGAGUUCCGGAACACUCAUGCUGCCUGGACCACCCCCACUGGACCACACUGACUCAUGCUGCCUGGACCACCCCCACUAACCCCCCAACUGGACCACACUGACUCAUGCUGCCUGGACCACCCCCACUGGACCACACUGACUCAUGCUGCCUGAGCCACCCUCACUGGACCACAGUGACUCCUGCUGCCUGGACCACCCCCACUGGACCACACUGACUCAUGCUGCCUGGACCACCCCCACUGGACCACACUGACUCAUGCUGCCUGGACCACCCCCACUGGACCACACUGACUCAUGCUGCCUGGACCACCCCCACUAACCCCCCAACUGGACCACACUGACUCAUGCUGCCUGGACCACCCCCACUGGACCAUACUGACUCAUGCUGCCUGGACCACCCCCACUGGACCACUGAUACCUCCUCCUCCUCUACUCUCCCUGUCUCUGACCCAACUGGACCACACUGACUCCUGCUGCCUGGAUCACCCCCACUAACCCCCCAACUGGACCACACUGACUCCUGCUGCCUGGAUCACCCCCACUAACCCCCCAACUGGACCACACUGACUCCUGCUGCCUGGAUCACCCCCACUAACCUCCCAACUGGACCACACUGACUCUGCUGCCUGGAUCACCCCCACUAACCCCCCAACUGGACCACACUGACUCUGCUGCCUGGGCCCCCCUCACUGGACCACACUGACUCCUGCUGCCUGGGCCCCCCUCACUGGACCACACUGACUCCUGAUACCUGGACCACCCCCACUGGACCACACUGACUACUGCUGACUGGAUCACCCCCACUAACCCCCCAACUGGACCACACUGACUCAUGCUGGCUGGACCACCCCCACUAACCCCCCAACUGGACCACACUGACUCCUGCUGCCUGGACCACCCCCACUAACCCCCCAACUGGACCACACAGACUCUGCUGCCUGGGCCACCCUCACUGGACCACACUGACUCCUGCUGCCUGGACCACCCCCACUGGACCACACUGACUCAUGCUGCCUGGACCACCCCUACUAACCCCCCAAAUGGACCACACUGACUCAUGCUGCCUGGACCACCCCCACUGGACCACACUGACUCAUGCUGCCUGGGCCACCCCCACUGGACCACACUGACUCAUGCUGCCUGGACCACCCCCACUGGACCACACUGACUCAUGCUGCCUGGACCACCCCCACUAACCCCCCAACUGGACCACACUGACUCAUGCUGCCUGGACCACCCCCACUGGACCACACUGACUCAUGCUGCCUGGACCACCCCCACUGGACCACACUGACUCCUGCUGCCUGGACCACCCCCACUGGACCACACUGACUCAUGCUGCCUGGACCACCCCCACUAACCCCCCAACUGGACCACACUGACUCAUGCUGCCUGGACCACCCCCACUGGACCACACUGACUCAUGCUGCCUGGACCACCCCCACUGGACCACACUGACUCCUGGUACUCUAACUUCCGCGAUGCAUACAAAUCUCUUCCCCGCCUUCCCUCCCUUCGGCAAAUCUGACCACGACGCCAUCUUGCUCAUCCCGGCUUAUAGGCAGAAUCUCAAACAGGUGGUACCAGUGACGAGAACCAUUCAACGCUGGUCUGACCAAUCGGAAGCCACGCUCCAAGAUUGUUUUGAUGACACGGACUGGAAUAUGUUCCGGUCAGCCUCAGAGAACAACAUUGAUCUAUACGCUGACUCGGUGAGUGUGUUUAUAAAUAAGUGCAUUGGAGAUGUCGUACCCACUGUGACUAUUAAAACCUACCCUAACCAGAAACCAUGGAUGGAUGGCGGCAUUUGCAAAAAACUGAAAGCACGAUCCACCGCAUUUAACCAUGGAAAGAGGUCUGGUGAUAUGGCUGAAUAUAAACAUUGUAGUUAUUCCCUCCACAAGGCAAUCAAACAAGCGAAAUGCCGGUACAGGGACAAGGUGGAGGUGCAAUUCAAUGGCUCAGACACCUGACGUAUGUAGCAGGGUCUACAGGAAAUCACAGACUACAAAAACAAAAUCAGCCACGUCACGGAUACCGACGUCACGCUUCCAGACAAACUAAACACCUUCUUUGCCCUCUUUGUGGACAAUACAGUGCCACCGUUGCGGCUCCCUAUCAAAGACUGCACCCCCCUCCUCUCCUUCUCAGUGGCUGACGUCCACAGAUGACGCAAUCGCCAUCACACUGCAGACUGCCCUAACCCACUCGGAGUGUGGUGUCAGGAAAACAACCUCUCACUCAACGUCAAAAAAACUAAGGAGAUGAUCGUGGACUUCAGGAAAGAGCAGAGGGAGCACCCCCCUAUCCACAUCGAAGGGAGAAGGUGUAAAGUUUUAAUUUCCUGGGCGUACACAUCACGGACAAACUGAAAUGGUCCAUCCACACAGACAGUGUGGUGAAGAAGGCGCAACAGCGCUUGUCACCCAAAACCCUGACAAACUUUUACAGAUGUACAAUCGAGAGCAUCCUGUCGGAUUGUAUCACAGCCUGGUAUGGCAACUGCUCCGCCCUCAACUGCAAGGCUCUCCAAUGGGUGGUGCGGUCUGAACAACGCAUUACCGGGGGCAAACUACCUGCCCUCCAGGACACCUACAGCAUCCGAUGUCACAGGAAGGCCAAAAAGAUCAAGGACAACAACCACCCGAGCCACUGCCUGUUCCCACCACUAUCAUCCAGAAGGCGAGGUCAAUACAGGUGCAUCAAAGCUGGGACCGAGAGAUUGAGAAACAGCUUCUAUCUCAAGGCCAUCAGACUGCUAAACAGCAGUCACUAACUCAGAGAGGCUGCUGCCUACAGUGAGACCCAAUCGCUGGACACUUUAAUAAAUGGAUCACUAGUCACUUUAAACAAUGCCACUUUAAAUAAUGCCACUUUAUAUCUUACAUUACUCAUAUCACAUGUAUAUACUGUAUUUUAUACCAUCUACUGCACCUUGCCUAUGCCGCUCAACCAUCGCUCAUCCAUAUACUUAUAUCUACAUUCUCAUUCACCCCUUCAUAUUUGUGUGUAUUUGGUGGUUGUUAGGUAAUUGUUAGAUUACUUGUUAGACUUGUGUGUAUUAGGUAGUUGUUGGGAAUUGUUAGAGUACUUGUUAGAUAUUACUGCACUGUUGGAACUAGAAGCACAAGCAUUUCGCUACACUCGCAUUAACAUCUGCAUGUGACCGUGUUCCACUAAUACUCCCACUAACCCCCCACUGGACCACACUGACUCCUGCUGUCCGGAACACCCUCAAUAACCCCCCACUGGACCACACUGACUCCUGCUGCCUGGAACACCCCCACUGGACCACCCCCACUGGACCACACUGACUCCUGCUGCCUUGAACACCCCCACUAACACCCCACUGGACCACACUGACUCCUGCUGCCUGGAACACCCCCACUGGACCACCCCCACGGGACCACACUGACUCCUGCUGCCUGGAACACCCCCACUAACUCCCCACUGGACCACACUGACUCCUGCUGCCUGGAACACCCCCACUAACUCCCCACUGGACCACACUGACUCCUGCUGCCUGGAACACCCCCACUAAAUCCCCACUGGACCACUCUCUGACCACUGAGACCACCGUAGAUCAUCUCUGUGAUAGACAAAAAAACUGUGUUUGAGGGCCGACUUGUGAUUACUAAUAUGAAUAAACACGUUUUGGAGGAGCUACUGUGAAUACAGAAAUUACAAUAAAAAAUAGGAAAUUAAUUAAUUAUGAAGAAAAGAAAG
rnacentral:lncRNA from 1 species